rfam:Triticum aestivum genome assembly, contig: Triticum_aestivum_CS42_TGACv1_scaffold_307561_4AS
GUAGUACUCCCUCCGUUCGAAAUUACUUGUCUCGGAUAUGGAUGAUCUAGAACUAAAAUAUGUCUAGAUACAUCCAUUUCUGCGAUAAGUAAUUCCGAACGGAUGGAGUACCUU